rnacentral:rRNA from 1 species
AUAAGAGGUCCAGCCUGCCCAGUGAUUACAAUUUAACGGCCGCGGUACCCUAACCGUGCGAAGGUAGCAUAAUCACUUGUUUCUUAAAUAGAGACUAGUAUCAACGGCAUCACGAAGACUACACUGUCUCCCCCCUAAAAUCAAUGAAACUGAUCCCCUCGUGAAGAAGCGGGAAUAUAAAUAUAAGACGAGAAGACCCCAUGGAGCUUUAAACGAACCUCAAUUGCUCCCACUCUUACCACAUAAACUGAGCACUAAUGAUGGGUAGUUUUCGGUUGGGGUGACCACGGAGUAAAACAAAACCUCCACAAUGAAUGUAAUAAAAUACUAAUAAAAGAACCACAAUUCUAAUAAUCAAAAAAUUGACAUAAAUUGACCCAAACACUUGAUCAAUGAACUAAGUUACCCUGGGGAUAACAGCGCAAUCCAUUUAAAGAGCCCCUAUCGACAAAUGGGUUUACGACCUCGAUGUUGGAUCAGGGUAUCCUAGUGGUGCAGCCGCUACUAAUGGUUCGUUUGUUCAACGAUUAAAACCCU